GGAAUGCCAGGACCAUUUGGAAAUGAUGCCAGCGAUGGGGCUGAUGGAGAGAAAGGACCUAAAGGUGAAAAAGGAAAUGACGGCCCUAAAGGACCAACAGGACCAAAGGGCAUGACUGGAUCAAAAGGAGAUAAGGGUGACAAAGGAAAUAUCGGACAGAAAGGAGCCAAAGGAGAAAGAGGU